rnacentral:rRNA from 1 species
GAUGAACGCUAGCGGCAGGCUUAAUACAUGCAAGUCGAACGGGAUUGAGAAGCUUGCUUUUCAUGAGAGUGGCGCACGGGUGCGUAACACGUAUGCAACCUACCUUGUCCAGGGGGAUAGCCCGUUGAAAGACGGAUUAAGACCGCAUAACAUUGAGCUGUGGCAUCACAAAUCAAUCAAAUAUUUAUAGGGACAAGAUGGGCAUGCGCCUGAUUAGGUAGUUGGCGGGGUAAUGGCCCACCAAGCCGACGAUCAGCAGGGGAUCUGAGAGGAGGACCCCCCACACUGGUACUGAGACACGGACCAGACUCCUACGGGAGGCAGCAGUAAGGAAUAUUGGUCAAUGGGCGAAAGCCUGAACCAGCCAUGCCGCGUGCAGGAAGACGGCCCUACGGGUUGUAAACUGCUUUUAUACGGGAAUAACCCCGGUUUCGUGAAACCGGCUGAAUGUACCGUAAGAAUAAGGAUCGGCUAACUCCGUGCCAGCCGCCGCGGUAA